rnacentral:lncRNA from 1 species
CAGGAAUAAUUUGGGAAUUUUCCUGCUGGAAUUUGGGGAUUAAUUUGGGGUUUCCCUGCUGGAUUUUGGGGAUAAAUCCCAGAUUUUUGUGAUUUUUUUUGGGAAUAUUUUGGGAAUUUUCCUGCUGGAUUUUGGGGAUAAUUUUGGGAUUUUUUGUGCUGAUUUUUUUGGGAUCAUUCCGGGAUUUCUGUGCUGGAUUUUGGGGAUAAAUCCGAUUUUUGUGCUGAUUUUUUUGGGAUCAUUCCAGGAUUUUUGUGCUGGGUUUUGGGGAUAAAUCCCAGAUUUCUGUUCUGGAUUUUGGGGAUAAUUUGGGAAU